AUUUAGCCGCUGGGGGAUUUAGAACCUGAGCUCACAGUCAUGAUUUAUAACACUCUCUCCUCAGCUCUCCCCGAGGGAUGAAGUUCUCCGGCAGGUACCGAACAGGUGUGGCACCAGCUCCGGCUGGGUGAUGGAUGACAGCCGGGAUCCGCCAAUAUCCUGACGGGGGGCAAGUCGAUUCGAUUUGUCUCGGAAGAAAUCACCCCCGCAGAUGAACGGUCGAGUUUUCCGGGAAACACUCAAGAGAGAACUCAGCCCUCGUGUGAAGCGGCUGCUUCGGUGACAGGUGGCAGAUGGAGGGAGAAUCCAAAGGCCGCUCAUCAGCGAGUGAACCUGCGUUACUCCAGAAGACGGGACGAGGCACGAUAUUCCAUCUGGGCUUCCUGAC
rnacentral:lncRNA from 1 species